rnacentral:tRNA from 1 species
GGGGAUUUAGCUCAGUGGUAGAGCGCUUGCCUAGUAAGCAUAAGGCCCUGGGUUCAGUCCUCA